CCUACGGGGUGCAGCAGUGAGGAAUAUUGGUCAAUGGACGAGAGUCUGAACCAGCCAAGUAGCGUGAAGGAUGACUGCCCUAUGGGUUGUAAACUUCUUUUAUAUGGGAAUAAAAUGUUCCACGUGUGGGAUUUUGUAUGUACCAUAUGAAUAAGGAUCGGCUAACUCCGUGCCAGCAGCCGCGGUAAUACGGAGGAUCCGAGCGUUAUCCGGAUUUAUUGGGUUUAAAGGGAGCGUAGGUGGAUUGUUAAGUCAGUUGUGAAAGUUUGCGGCUCAACCGUAAAAUUGCAGUUGAAACUGGCAGUCUUGAGUAGAGUAGAGGUAGGCGGAAUUCGUGGUGUAGCGGUGAAAUGCUUAGAUAUCACGAAGAACUCCGAUUGCGAAGGCAGUUCACUGGACUGCAACUGACAUUGAUGCUCGAAAGUGUGGGUAUCAAACAGGAUUAGAUACCCUGGUAGUC
rnacentral:rRNA from 1 species